UCAUUCCUGACCCAGACUGGAUUCAGACUGUGCUGGGGACAUGGUUUGCAUUUCCCUGUGAGGGCAAAUCUUACCUUGACUUCAGCUUCUUUUCCUUAAGCCUCUGGUAAAAGCUGAAGUCCUCUGUGCUGGAAUUGAACAGUUGGUGCAAAAAGGCUUCAGUUUCUGACAUGGGAGUCAGAGAUUUCAUUAUGAUUUUAGCCAUGGGCAUUGCCAGCACAAUUCUGCACUUGUAACUUUGUUAAAGGAGACACUCUUCAGAAAAACUGAGUUUUUCCCAAUGUUGACUUUAAAAAUGCUGUCAAAUAUUUAAUGUUGAACAAUGUCUGUGAAAUAAUCACAUAUAUACAAACACACAUACAGAUUUCUAUUUUAUAUAUAUAUAUAUAUAUAUACACAUAUAUACAUAUAUAUAUAUAUCUGUCUUUAAUGUUGAAGGAUUUUCUGGUGUAUCCAAAGGUCCUCCAGUAACUUUGGCCUCAUCCCUUCUUUUAGACUAACACAGGUGUCUUUCAUGGCUUUUGAGGAGAUUCAGGCAGUAUUUGUGGGAAUGGAAUAUAUACAAGUCAGAACACACCAUUUUAAAUAUCUUGUUUGACAACAUUGAACAUGUGUGCUAAUGCAACGCUCAGUUUGAUGUUCUUGGCAAAAUAUACAUCCCUUAAAUGUAAUUUUGCACAUAUUAAAUAAUUCCGUCUGGUUAGAAAGAAAAAUUUCAAUACAGAGAAGAUCCUCAAAACUGAUAAAGCAUUAAUCUCUUUGUAAAGACAAAUAAUCUUUUCUGUUUGAAAUAAGAUUAAUUCUUCCAGCUUCUGUCCUAGGCAAACUGAUCAUUUUCAGUCCUCCACAUGGAAGCCUCAGUACCUGGGUACGAUUUUCUGCUUCCCAGGGUGGCAGGCUGUGUUUGGUUAUGAGUCUGUUUUGUGUUCCAGGGAUAUCCCUGAUGUGCCCAAGGUGUCACUCAGGCAGUGCCAGCAAAGAGAAGGAGGAUUCCCAUUGUGUUUGGAGCAGCCUUCACUCUUCUCUGUAGCUCCCAGCUGCCUGGCUGAGCCAGCCCAUGAACCAGCCUGCCUCCUGACUGGGGUAAGAGUGCAGGGGAGGGCAGCUCAAGUGCUGCCUGCUGCUGCCAGUGCUGGAUUUUUAAUGCUUAGAUGCUCACAGAUUUUGAGGUUGGCACUGGAGGGG
rnacentral:lncRNA from 1 species